rnacentral:lncRNA from 1 species
AUGCAGACAAGUGGAGGGUUAACAAGGCGAAGGAUGCUUUAUUCAGUGACAGAACAGCUCAGCGGAGACCCGCAACGCUUACCUCCUCUCCACAGCACUAAAAUUGGUCGCUGGCACAUGGCUCCCUACAAAAUACUGCAUUUCCCCACAUCCCCUGAAGGUCGGGGAAUAGACGCUUCAUGCUGGAAAGAAGAACAUGUGAAGCUCUCCUCAAUCCACUGGACUUGCACUUGCUUUUCCUGAAGUAUUGACAAUUUUUACUCUUGGAAUUAAUAAAGCUUGAUCUUAUUUCUGUGAGUCAUAUAAAUCUGAUUUACUUGAGUUUGACUGGACAGAUUUUUUUAUGUUAAAUUAUUUCUGAAAUGUUGCCUCUAUUAUGUUAAUCAUUGGUAAAAAAACAAAAAGAAACAAACAAACAACACAAUUCCAUAGUUCCAAACACCUACAGUAAUGUUCAUGGAAGACAGUUUUUGCUCCAUUAUUCUCCUUCAUCAGUCCUCAAGUCAGUUAAAAUUCAUUAAGUCACAGUCAAGAAGAGCAUCUCAAAUAGUCUCAUGUCUGUACUUUUGAUGAUAUUCUACCACCAACCUCCAAGAUAUGGCUGUUAUCUUCUUCUUUCUUGACAAUUACAGUUUAAAAGUGCUCCCUGCACUACUACAGAUUCUUAGCUAACUCCUUAACCACCCCCAUACUUUGCCCACACAUUCUCAGAGCCUAAAUGUAUCAAUUUUCUUCAUAUUUAAAAUGCAAAACAAGAAAUAUUAAAAGAAUGAAGCUAAGUUUAGGAACUUUGGGUAAAAGUUCUUACUUAUAGAUGGAAAAUACUCAAGUUUGAUUGUAUAAAAAUUAAAAAGUUCUGUUGAAAAAACAAAUAAUAUCCCAAGAACAAAAAAUUAUUAUUUUUUUUUGUGAGACUUAUAAUACAUAAAAUGUUAAUGUUGCCAUUCUGUGAAAAUCUUUUUCAAAUCCAUAGGGCAAAUAGGAAAGAGAUGUGAAUGG